CUGGACCUGUGGGUGUGACAGAGCCAUGAAGAAAUUACCACCCAUAACUUUUGACUUUUGAUUUUUUUUUUUAUUUAACGGCUCAUUUGUAUAACCUCAAAGACGGAGGGGCCAGCAGACCCCAAAGAGAUUGGCAGCCGCGGUCCUCUCAAGUUGGAAGGUUAUGUCAGCUGCCAAGUCUGCCGGGCGAGCUCAGCAAAGCGAGGGAGCGGAGAGAGAUUGGUUACAGCCAACUCUGCAGAAUGCACGGAGAGGGAGCUCCGGGAGUGGCGCGCUUAGCUGGAGAGCGGUGGAUGAGCUGUGGAGAGCUGCAGGCAAAAAUACAGUGGGAAGGCAUCCAAAGCUGCAGCUGCGAGAGCCCAUUAAAAAGCUGAGACUCAUUCUGUUGUUCGACCCCACGCUUAGCACCGCAUAACUAUUCAUCAAAGAAAUUUCAGUGCAAUUAAUUAAAUUAUUCCCAUGUCUGGGCUGCGGAGUCGUUACUCCAAUAUCAACUUUCACUCACUCUCUCUUAAGCUCGCGUUUGCAUGCCAAGUCACUACUCUGGGGUUGUCCGGUCUCAAUAAAGCUGUGCUCCUCGUCGCUC